rnacentral:rRNA from 1 species
UACGGGAGGCAGCAGGGAGGAAUAUUGCACAAUGGGCGCAAGCCUGAUGCAGCCAUGCCGCGUGUAUGAAAAAGGCCUUCGGGUUGUAAAGUACUUUCAGUCGUGAGGAAGGUGUUAAGGUUAAUAACCUUAGCAAUUGACGUUAGCGACAGAAGAAGCACCGGCUAACUCCGUGCCAGCAGCCGCGGUAAUACGGAGGGUGCGAGCGUUAAUCGGAAUUACUGGGCGUAAAGGGCACGCAGGCGGUUAAUUAAGUUGGAUGUGAAAUCCCCGGGCUUAACCUGGGAAUGGCAUUCAAGACUGGUUAGCUAGAGUCUUGUAGAGGGGGGUAGAAUUCCAUGUGUAGCGGUGAAAUGCGUAGAGAUGUGGAGGAAUACCGGUGGCGAAGGCGGCCCCUGGACAAAGACUGACGCUCAUGUGCGAAAGCGUGGGGAGCAAACAGGGAUUAGAUACC